rnacentral:rRNA from 1 species
GAUGAACGCUGGCGGCGUGCCUAAUACAUGCAAGUCGAGCGAAUGGAUUAAGAGCUUGCUCUUAUGAAGUUAGCGGCGGACGGGUGAGUAACACGUGGGUAACCUGCCCAUAAGACUGGGAUAACUCCGGGAAACCCGGGCUAAUACCGGAUAACAUUUUGAACCGCAUGGUUCGAAAUUGAAAGGCGGCUUCGGCUGUCACUUAUGGAUGGACCCGCGUCGCAUUAGCUAGUUGGUGAGGUAACGGCUCACCAAGGCAACGAUGCGUAGCCGACCUGAGAGGGUGAUGGGCCACACUGGGACUAAGACACGGCCCAGACUCCUACGGGAGGUAGCAGUAGGGAACCUUCCGCAAUGGACGAAAGUCUGACGGAGCAACGCCGCGUGAGUGAUGAAGGCUUUCGGGUCGUAAAACUCUGUUGUUAGGGAAGAACAAGUGCUAGUUGAAUAAGCUGGCACCUUGACGGUACCUAACCAGAAAGCCACGGCUAACUACGUGCCAGCCGCCGCGGUAA